UACGAAGGGUGCUAGCGUUGUUCGGAAUCACUGGGCGUAAAGCGCGCGUAGGCGGUGCUGCAAGUCAGGGGUGAAAUCCCGGGGCUCAACCUCGGAAUUGCCUUUGAAACUGCAGUGCUAGAGUGUCGGAGGGGAUAGCGGAAUUGCUAAUGUAGAGGUGAAAUUCGUAGAUAUUAGCAGGAACACCGGUGGCGAAGGCGGCUAUCUGGACGACAACUGACGCUGAGGCGCGAAAGCGUGGGGAUCAAACAGG
rnacentral:misc_RNA from 1 species